GAAGUCGGGCAUCGUGUGGGGCGGGAAGCUGUGGCUGCAGGAAGCCAGGGGUGAUGUCCUUCCUGCAGAGUCUCUCGAGCCCCGAACUUGCGGGAAGAAAGGCCUCCCCCCUUUCACCUCGUUCGGGUUGGUUUGCGCUGGAAUGCCACGCUUUUCAAAGUGUCUGAGUGAUAGGCACUUUCUAAAUAUGUACAGCGAUGGCCUGAUAAGCAACCAAGCGUCUGGCUUCGCGGGUUCAUGCCCGAGGCUGUGCGGUCGGGAAGGGUGGGGGCUCAGCUGAAACCUCAGCUCCUCCUUACAGGCCUGGCUUGGAAACGGUUCUGUUCACUGCUGGGGUCCCCAUUUUCCAACUUUUACUUUUGAGACUGGAAGAAGACAAGAGACACCUCCCCACCCCCUAUCCUCUGCUUCCACGCCUGCGACUCAGCCCAGGUGACCCAAACGGCUGAGUCAACUUGGCGCAGUCGGAGCGUCCCCAUUGCGCCGGCCGCCCCCAGCCCCCUUCGCCCCUCGCUUGGCCCCACAAUGCGCCCUUGUGCCGCGCCUGCAGUCAGGCCGGGGAUUUGGCGCAGGGAUGGGGGGAAUAUUCGUCAGAUAUUUAAAACAGAGCCGAGAGAACAAAGCAGGUCUUUGUGCAGCGAGGCGGCCCGGGAGCUGGGAGCCGCCGGCCCCCGAGCACGGUGCUGGGCCAGGCGAAUGCGCAUGCGCUUGGCGACCUGCGAGCUCGGGUUCCGGGCCGGCUUCUACCCAGGACACAUGGCUCAAGAUAAAAUGAUACACCACUUGAGAACCCAAAUUUUCAAUGACUGGAAAGACUAAGACACUUGGGUCACGUAAAAAUCAAGACAUUUGGAAAAUACGCCAUCUUCGGAUGCUAGAAGAAGAUGGAACCUUUUGAUAGGCGUGGGCUUCUUCCGGCUUGUUUAUGCUGGGUGACCGGCUCUUUCAUUUUUGUGUUCACUGUCACUUGGAAUUUGGAAGACAUGCUGGUUGUUGUCAAGGACCUGGCUUUUGUUUUGGGUUGUGGGCUGACUGGAUGGUGUUUGUUUAUUAAAAAAAAAAAAACAAACCGAAAAACUAAAUAGCUAAAUACAAGUGAAGUGUGCAUGGUACAAAGAUGAGAUUGUGUCAUGAACCGAGAAAUAUGUAAUUAAUGAAAUUCUAUGCAGAAGAAAGAAAGAAAGAAGAGGAAAUUAGUAGCUAUUUAAAUACAUUAUGUUAUUGGGGAAGGAAAUAAAGUUUCUCAAGUAAGGUAGAGUAGGAGCAACUUGGGGGGAGGUGGCAUGUGCAAAGUACCCCCGUUCUGCUUUAUAUUGACAGUGAUUGCACCCCAUAGGUAAUGGGGACUGGCAGACAGAGGCUGGGGGAAGCCAAUGGCAGGCUUAGAAGUGAGUUACUGUGCUUGAAUUAUUCAGAUGGGUGAGAAAGGCAGUCCCAACCAGAUGAUUUCACAGCCUUCCAAACGCGGCUCCUGGAGCAUGUCCAGUGAGGUUAGAUGGACCUCCCCCAUCAGACACGUCAAGGGGAGUGCAAGGACUUAAUGGAGGUCUCGUGACUUGUAUGCUAGGACCCUGCAGUAGCCCACCCUGCUCUGACUGUGGACACACAUCUGAGGAAUUUAUGACCUUCUUUAUCCUUCAUAGCUCAAUUACCUGGUGGUCACAAGAAAGCAAAGGGAUUUUUAUGUGACAUCAUCUUGGCAAGAAGCUCCCUUACCAACCUUGACCUCUAGGUCUCCAUGGCAAUUGCUGCUGGGACAUCAUUGGCACCAGAUUGUGCCCCUUAAAGGCCACACUGCAGCAAGGGCAGAUAAACAAUUUCAUGGCAACAGUCA